rnacentral:rRNA from 1 species
AUUGAACGCUGGCGGCAUGCCUUACACAUGCAAGUCGAACGGUAACAGCACUUCCGUGGCUUACUAGUGGCGGACGGGGGCGUAAUACAUACGAACGUGCCUAGUAGUUGUGGGUAACUACUCGAAACAGUAGCUCAUACCUCAUGAGAUCUAAUAAUUAAAACAGGAUACCUUCAGGCCUUACGCUACUAUAGCUGCCGAUGGCAGAUUAGGUAGUUGGUGGGAUAAUAGCUUACCAAGCCGACGAUCUGUAGCGGGUCUGAGAGGACGAGCAGCCACACUGGGACUGAGACACGGUCCAGACUCCUACGGGAGGCAGCAGUGGGGAAUUUUGGACAAUGGGCGAAAGCCUGACCCAGCAAUGCCGCGUGAAGGAUGAAGGCCUUCGGGUUGUAAACUGCUUUUGUACGGAAAGAAAAGCCCUCUUCUAAUCCAGGAGGGUCAUGACGGUACCGGAAGAAUAAGCACCGGCUAACUACGUG